rnacentral:rRNA from 1 species
GACGAACGCUGGCGGCGUGCUUAACACAUGCAAGUCGAACGGAAAGGCCCUGCUUUUGUGGGGUGCUCGAGUGGCGAACGGGUGAGUAACACGUGAGUAACCUGCCCUUGACUUUGGGAUAACUUCAGGAAACUGGGGCUAAUACCGGAUAGGAGCUCCUGCUGCAUGGUGGGGGUUGGAAAGUUUCGGCGGUUGGGGAUGGACUCGCGGCUUAUCAGCUUGUUGGUGGGGUAGUGGCUUACCAAGGCUUUGACGGGUAGCCGGCCUGAGAGGGUGACCGGCGACAAGGGGACUGAGAUACGGCCCAGACUCCUACGGGAGGCAGCAGUGGGGAAUAUUGCACAGUGGGCGGAAGCCUGAUGAAGCAACGCCGCGUUCGGGAUGACGGCCUUCGGGUUGUAAACCGCUUUCGCCUGUGACGAAGCGUGAGUGACGGUAAUGGGUAAAGAAGCACCGGCUAACUACGUG